rnacentral:rRNA from 1 species
UACAGAGGUCCCGAGCGUUGUUCGGAUUCACUGGGCGUAAAGGGUGCGUAGGCGGUUCUGUAAGUCUGAUGUGAAAUCUCCGGGCCCAACCCGGAAAUGGCAUUAGAAACUGCAGGGCUAGAGGCUUGGAGGGGGAACUGGAAUGCUCGGUGUAGCAGUGAAAUGCGUAGAGAUCGAGCGGAACACCAGUGGCGAAGGCGAGUUCCUGGACAAGACCUGACGCUGAGGCACGAAAGCCAGGGGAGCAAACAGG